GCCUCGAUAGCUCAAUUGGUUAGAGCAAUGCCCCGGCAAGGCAGAGGGUGUGAGAUCAUUCCUCACUCGAGUUA